rnacentral:rRNA from 1 species
GACGAACGCUGGCGGCGCGCCUAACACAUGCAAGUCGAGCGAGAACUAUUCCUUCGGGGAUAGGGACAGCGGCGAACGGGUGAGUAACACGUGGGUAAUCUGCCCUCGGUUCUGGGAUAGCCCGGGGAAACCCGGAUUAAUACCGGAUGGCCUCUCGAGCCCUCGGGCGCGAGAGAAAAGGUAGCUUCGGCCUCCGACCGAGGAUGAGCCCGCGGCCGAUUAGCUUGUUGGUGAGGUAAUGGCUCACCAAGGCAACGAUCGGUAGCUGGUCUGAGAGGACGAUCAGCCACACUGGGACUGAGACACGGCCCAGACUCCUACGGGAGGCAGCAGUGGGGAAUCUUGCGCAAUGGGCGAAAGCCUGACGCAGCGACGCCGCGUACGGGAAGAAGGCCUUCGGGUUGUAAACCGUUUUCAGGAGGGACGAAGCCACUCGGGUGAAUAGCCCAGAGGGUGACGGUACCUCCAGAAGAAGCCCCGGCUAACUACGUG